GAUGAACGCUGGCGGCGUGCCUAAUACAUGCAAGUCGAGCGAAUGGAUUAAGAGCUUGCUCUUAUGAAGUUAGCGGCGGACGGGUGAGUAACACGUGGGUAACCUGCCCAUAAGACUGGGAUAACUCCGGGAAACCGGGGCUAAUACCGGAUAACAUUUUGAACCGCAUGGUUCGAAAUUGAAAGGCGGCUUCGGCUGUCACUUAUGGAUGGACCCGCGUCGCAUUAGCUAGUUGGUGAGGUAACGGCUCACCAAGGCAAAGAUGCGUAGCCGACCGGAGAGGGGGAUCGGCCACACUGGGACUGAGACACGGCCCAGACUCCUACGGGAGGAAGCAGUAGGGAAUCUUCCGCAAUGGACGAAAGUCUGACGGAGCAACGCCGCGUGAGUGAUGAAGGCUUUCGGGUCGUAAAACUCUGUUGUUAGGGAAGAACAAGUGCUAGUUGAAUAAGCUGGCACCUUGACGGUACCUAACCAGAAAGCCACGGCUAACUACGUGCCAGCAGCCGCCGUAA
rnacentral:rRNA from 1 species